rnacentral:lncRNA from 1 species
GUGUGUGUGUGUGUGUGUGUGUGUGAUGUGUGUGUGAUGUAUGUGUGUGUCCUCUGUGUGUGCGUGUGAUAUAUGUGUGUGUGUCUCUGUGUGUGUGAUGUGUCUUUGCCUCUGUGUGUGUGUGUGUGUGUGUGUGUGUGUGUCUGUGUGUGUGGUGUGUGUAUGUGUGUCUGUAUGUGUGAUGUGUUUGUAUGUGUGUAUUUGUGUGUGUGAUGUGUGUGUGUUUCUCUCUGUGUGUGUGUGAUGUGUGUGUGAUGUUAUGUGUGAUGUGUGUGUGUGUGUGUGUG